UUGGCAAAAGCUUUAAAAGCAACUAACCGUUAAUUAGUAGGACACAACCUAGUUGUUUGCC
rnacentral:tRNA from 1 species